UACGUAGGGUGCGAGCGUUGUCCGGAAUUAUUGGGCGUAAAGCGUGCGUAGGCGGUUCGUCGCGUCGGCUGUGAAAACCCGGAGCUCAACUCCGGGCCUGCAGUCGAUACGGGCGGACUUGAGUGUUGCAGGGGAGACUGGAAUUCCUGGUGUAGCGGUGAAAUGCGCAGAUAUCAGGAGGAACACCGGUGGCGAAGGCGGGUCUCUGGGCAACUACUGACGCUGAGGAGCGAAAGCGUGGGUAGCGAACAGG
rnacentral:rRNA from 1 species